rnacentral:lncRNA from 1 species
GGCGAGUCCGUUGUGGAGUAUGACUAUCUGCCAUACUUCUACUCCCGGUCAUUCGACCUGGGAUGGCAAUUCUACGGCGACAACGUUGGCGACACCAUCCUGUUCGGAGACAGUGACCCGACCUCUGCCAAGCCCAAGUUCGGGUCCUACUGGAUCAAGGACGGCAAGGUGUUGGGUGCCUUCCUGGAGGGUGGGUCACCUGAUGAGAACAAGGCCAUUGCCAAGGUCGCGAAAACUCAGCCGCCCGUUGCCAACAUAGAGGAGCUCAAGAAGGAAGGCCUCCAGUUCGCCAGCAAAAUAUGAGAUUUUUGUAGUUUUGAUGUACAUUUCCACAUGGUACUCCCCCUAUUGGUUUUCUGAUUGUGAUGCGUCUGUACUCUGUACUCCUCUUAAAUAUGGGCACUUGCUAUAGCUGCUGAGAUUUGAAUAAAGAAG